CGGGUGCACUGAUCCGGCCGGGCCUUUCCCUCUGUGGAACCCCAUGGCCUUCACUGGCUGUGCGGGGGAAACAGGACUUUUACUGUGAAAAAAUUAGAGUGCUCCAGGCAGGCCUAUGCUCGAAUACAUUAGCAUGGAAUAAUAGAAUAGGACGCGUGGUUCUAUUUUGUUGGUUUCUAGGACCGCCGUAAUGAUUAAUAGGGACAGUCGGGGGCAUCAGUAUUCAAUUGUCAGAGGUGAAAUUCUUGGAUCUAUUGAAGACUAACUACUGCGAAAGCAUUUGCCAAGGAUGUUUUCAUUGAUAAGGAACGAAAGUUAGGGGAUCGAAGACGAUCAGAUACCGUCGUAGUCUUAACUAUAAACUAUGCCGACUAGGGAUCGGACGAUGUUAUUUCUUGACGCGUUCGGCACCUUUCGAGAAAUCAAAGUGCUUGGGCUCCAGGGGGAGUAUGGUCGCAAGGCUGAAACUUAAAGAAAUUGACGGAAGGGCACCACCAGGGGUGGAACCUGCGGCUUAAUUUGACUCAACACGGGGAAACUCACCAGGUCCAGACACAGUGAGGAUUGACAGAUUGAGAGCUCUUUCUUGAUUCUGUGGGUGGUGGUGCAUGGCCGUUCUUAGUUGGUGGAGUGAUUUGUCUGCUUAAUUGCGAUAACGAACGAGACCUUAACCUGCUAAAUAGCCCGUACUGCUCUGGCAGUUCGCCGGCUUCUUAGAGGGACUAUCGG
rnacentral:rRNA from 1 species